ACCUUCCACCAAACCAGGCAGCGGCAGUCCCAAGCCUGAACCCCUGCGCCCUCUGGAACGCUCCCCCGAGUACUGAGCAGCCAGACUUAACCACAGUUAACAGCAUCAUUCCCACUGGCUGGAUUAGUCCUACUGCCCCGUUGAAAUAUUUGUGGUGUAGCAUUUGGCUGCCUUUAAAAAGAGCAAGAUAUUGGAUCUGGGUUAUUGUGACUUUGCUUAAGCUCCAUGCCCUGGGCACAGAUCUGUGUGAUGGGAAAGGAUGGCUGCUCUUGGUCUCUAUCUAAAGGUAAAACUUUGUGUUCACACUGGGGGCAGGGGACUAAAAGGCACUGUACAGGGAAUUUCUGAAGUGCUAGCAGGGCACGGUGCAUUAUUACCAGAUUCUCAUAGGGUAUUAUAUGCACUUUACUUAGUCUCUAGAAUGUAAAGGUUUGCUGCAAAAGAGUUCUGAAAUUGGCAAAAGUGGUACUGUCAUCUUGUGGUAUUCUUUAGCCAUUAUGUAUCAGAGCCCACAUUUUAGGAGCAGCAGAAAUGUACUGUCUAUUUUUAUCUCUCUUCUUGAUGCUGGAAAAGGUAACAUCCUGCAGCAGCCAGCACAGAUGCCUUUGCAGUCUCCUGGACAGGAAUAGUGCUGGAGUUUGCAUUUGGGAUUGAAGCAGUUGCAGAUUCUCUCUCUGAAAUUUGGAGAGGUUGUGACAAGAGCAGGAGCAUCCCACACUGGAGCACGCUCUUGGUGUGGUGCUGUGUGAAUUUCAACAGGACUGAGAUUCUGAAAUGAGCUCAGAGCUGCUCCGUUCUGACUCACUUUAUCCAGCUGAAUUCAGGAGCAAAAAUUGCCAAGAUCAGGAAAGAGCUGUGUGGCAGAUCUGCUGUUUUACAAUACUAAUACACCAGCAGCCAGAUUAUUAUUUUGUGAGAUUUUUUGCUUGUUUUCUGCUCUAAACAUGAGGAUAUGGCAUUUGGGGAGCAAAAUUGGACUAGUUACAGGCUGUAGGAAAUCCUGUUUUCAGCUCUUUCUAACAUAGUCUGGGGGCAAGAGCCUAAAAAGAGAAGGUAAAAAGGAGACCCAGGUUGAUUUUUUUUUGUUUUAUUAUUUUCAGAAGGGAGCAUAUUCACACACACCUGGCACCACACAGAGGCACAUAGAAGUUCCUGUAACCUCCCUUCAUCACAUCUCACCUGAGCAACCCAGCACAGCACUGCCAGCCCUCACAGGGCUUGCUCCAACACACAGCAAAAAAUGAAAGCACAAGUGGAUGCUAAACACUACUUACACAUCUUUACCUAUCAGUUUUUUCUGGGUUUGCUUCUCUGUAUAUAAGCGAAGGAACUAAUAUAUGCACCAAGUCUUAUGGAAUAAAGAAAUGAAGGCAGCAAGAAACAAAGCAAAACCUCUGUGAACUGGAUGGAGGGCAGGAUAUAAGUUUUACUGAUCAUUAGAAUCUAUUAAGGUAGCCUGGAUGUUGCUGGUUCCCAUAAUGAAUCUGCUGUGAACCCUACUGUUGAUUCAGAAAGCUCUGGCUCUUGGUUUUAUAUCUGCCAUACUGGAUGUAAAAUGCUUGAAAAGAGCAAGAAUGAACAGAGACUGACAAGGCCAUGGGAACAGUCCCCAAUGCUGCAUCCUCAACCACUCCUCCAUGGGGUGCCCGGGGUGCUGGGGCGGCACCCAGGGCAUGUCAGAGGUCUUGGUGGAUUACAGGUGAUCCGAUGUACAAGGAGGAAAAGGGAAACUAUCACUUGUUCAGAAGACUGCACAGGAUUUAUGACAAUGGAAUCUAGAGCUGUGAGCAGUUGUCAUUUUCACCAGAGGGAGAAGAAGCAUUCCUUGCCCCAAAGUGUCCUGGGGGUUUAUGGUUCAGUUUCUGCAGGCAUCCAGGAAUUAGUGUCACCUCUACAGGCCUAUAAAAUGCUGCUAUGGAAGUCACUUUUUUCCCUACUGAGUGAAUAAAUUACAAAUCCUGGAGCAGUGCUUGGUGUGCUGUAACUCUUGGCUAUAACAUCUAUGAGAUAUGUUUAAGCUGAAUGAUCCAUGGUUAGAGGGGUGAUGGUUUCUUUUAUAGCCCUCUUGUUCUUGCAGACAGUACCAUUGAAAUAGACCAUGAAGACAAAGGUAAGUUCACCAUAUUCUCAUCUUUCCUGGAGUUACAUGUACUUUUUUCUCUGCUGUGGGACGCCUCACACAUUCAGGACUAGCUAAGUCUUGGCAUUAACAGUGUUUUGUGGUUUUUUUUUCCUCCAGUCUAUGUUUUGAAUUAUAAAACUAUGAUAAUUUCUAGAAAAGUUCAUACUCUCUUUGAAGCAGAUACAACCUUCAAACUCAUAUGUAACCUACAUGUAUAAAAACCACUUUGAAAGAUGUUAUUGUUCCUUCCAGUGUUUUUUUCUCCUUCUGCACAGAAAAUGUUUUUCCACUUCCAGGCAGACUCUUCUAUUCCUACCUCUUAUAUACUCAGUCACCUUGAAAAUGCAGAGCAUUAUUGUACAGAAGAAGCUUUUUCACAGACUCCAUUACUUUGACAAUUACAUUUAUUGUAAUUUUUUCAUCACCCCUGUCCUUCUUGACAGAUCCUGCAAGAUUAUUUUAUCCAUUAUGUGACCUUCUUACUUGACAUUCCUUUGCCAUUGCUCUGAAUCCAGGCACAAAGAGCUGAAGGCUGGGAUGUAGAGGAAGGGAGAGGCCAGGAUUCCUACCCAGAGCAAGGGGACAGGUCUGGGCUCUAACACUGCAGCUAAGAGAAUUGCACCGCAUAUCUAUUUAAAUGCUAAAGAAUAACACACGUGCUCACACCCUCCUCAUGGAUUAAACUCUCUUUCAUUCAUAGUAGCAAGGUGAAAUAUAACCCUUCCUUCUACUCAGACUGGAAGUUGGGGUUGAAAAUCCCCUCUCUCAAUACCCCCAGCCCCCAUUCCAGACUUUACUGGGUUUCUACUGGUGAGUAGUAUGCUUUAUAAUUUUACUGUCUUCAUGUAUUUAAAUAUAAUGUCUGUCUAGAUACCAAUUUUAUUUUCCUGAUUAAUUUAUUCUCCAGAUUCUCUGGCCUUCAGUCAAUGCACUGAGUGAUUAAAUUUUUAUCCCAGUAAUGAGAUUUGACACAAUCUAUGCCAGUUACCUGUGUGACCUGCUAAGUAGGUUAAUUGGCAACCCUGAAUAAUUAUCACCCACCUCAUCUUUCUGACUGUGAGUCUGACAAUAAAUGAAACAUAAAAUGCUGAAAAUUACACACCAUUUUUAAUUUCAACUUCUGAAUUGUUUCAAAGAAACCUUUUACCUAGUAUCUUAUUAAUAAAAUUCAGCAAUUGAAAAAAAUACCCUGUGAACUUACUGGUUUUAUUUCUAUGUAUAUGUUUGCUCUUGUGUUUCAGCACAGCUUCCUAGAGUAAAAAGAACUAUGUGGCAUAUUAGAUGAACAGGUCCCUAUAUUCUGCAAAUUGCUUAUGUAAGUGAAUUGUUGCAUCCUCAGAGACACUGCUCAAAAGCAAGAAAAUUCAAGAAGUCAAAGUGAUAUUUGUGGUGACAUUGAAAGAAUUAUGUUCUAAUGCUUUUCUGUGAAACCUUGAGAACUAGAAAUUACCUUUAUUGUUUAAUGAAAGCUGUGAUCCUUCUAUUCCCAUUUCACAGGAAAAAGAGUUAAGAAAAAUAAAUACGGAACCGGUGGUGCUAACUUGUAUUGUGUAUCUAAUCUUAUCUACUUUGUUCAUUUCUGAAAAUCCAGGAUGGUAUUUCUUUCUGCCCUAGAAAAUGUAAGAUUGGAGCUUAGAGAGGAAAAAGAAUGGACUCCUACGGAUGAGAAGAUGGGUUAAAAAUUUAAACUUGUGGUCUUGUCACAAGAUAAUCAGCUCAAAUUAAUUAGGAUAACAGAUUUAGUCAGACUGCUUCCAAAAUCAUUCCUCUGCCCUGGCCAGAAUUAUCACCAAAACUUGGGGUAGAAAGAACAAUCAAAGAAUUCAUUUCUUGGUAUCAGCAGUUAAUGACUGCAACACAAAGUGUCUUCCGAGAGGCGCUUUGGAGAGGGGGAGCUGCUCUGCCCUGUCCUCAGGCACUCCUGUGGCACAGCUGGUGGUCCUGAGCUGGUCCUUUUCCACUGGGACCCUGCAGCCUGCAAGCACAGGCACCACUGAUGGAACCACACAAAUAAGUAUUAAAGGCAUGGUAAUGUUGGCCCAGUUACAUCAGGUUAUCAUGUGCCAUGUCUCAAAAUUUCAGCACGGUUUUCCAUUAAAUAAAAGCUUGCAGCAUCCUGAUGUCCCAUCCCCUCUGGCUGCCAUUGACAUUCCUCUUUUUCAGCCCGUGUGUUUGCAAAAAUAGGCUUCCAUUUCUGAGCUCAUUCCAUUUUGGAAAGCAAAGUGUGCAGUUUACUGUGUCCAGAGUGGAUUCUUCAGGUAGAUAACCCAUCCAAAGCCAUUCCAUCUUUCAUUUUGUUGUCUUACAGGCUUUCAAGUGGGGUGAUACAAUUCAAGAGAGGAUCCUGAUGAAAUUGCACUCAAACCUGAGUCUGAACAAGUCAGCAGAGCUCAGCUUUUGGGAGUGAGUCAUGUUAAAACCAAGCAUAUGCUCAAGUGUUUUGCUGGAUCAUGGCCAUAUUAAACUAUAAUGACCUAAAUGGAUUUACUCCCCAGACAAAUUUACCCUUUGCUUUCCUCCUGCUCACACAUACAUUUGCACCUCAAUCAAUCACUUAUAUCUCCUAUUUCCUGCAUCCUUUUAUGAAAAACUUAAUGACUUGUUUAAUCUCUUCUGAGCAUGGCUUUAUUUCCUCUAUUGGUUUCCUUGAUAAUGCAUCAUCAGGGCUUUUUUGCCCCUACCUUUACUCCCCUAAAGGUUUUCAAUUUUACUGUAGAAAUUUAAUAAAACCAAAAUUGUUAAGGCUUGUUAAUAGAGCUGUACUGUCUCUUUGUGCUCCUUCAUGUAAACCACUUCCUCCCCAUAUAAAGACAAAGGUGUUGAAGAUGCACAUUAGGUAAACUACUGUCUACAAAUGGUAAAAAUAACAUCUUGCAGCUCUCUUUCUGUGGAUCUUUUUUUUCUGACAAGUGGUGUAAAAUUACAGGCAUUUAGAUGUCAGGUAGCAGGAGAGAAAAAAAAAAAAUAGAAGAGGUAUUGUAGCAAAAUAUCAAAUAACUGAUACAUUGGUGGUAGUUAUAUGGUGUUUUAUUUCUCAAGAAUCAAGAAUUGCCUAACUUUAUAAGGUUUUUAUCAUACCUGAUAGAAAAUUAAGGGCUCCUGAUAUUUUGCAAUUCGUUGCCCAUUGCUUGUUGAUUACAUAAUUGUUUUUGAAUGAAGGAGCACUGUGAGAUCCUGUGAGAAGCUAAGCUGACAUGACUUCUGUCCUUCCUUUUUAUUACGAUAGUCAAUAGCUUAGUUGUGAGGAACAGAAUUGCUCUUUGUGACUGUAUUAGACAUUCUUCUGGGAGAGCUAGCUAAAAUUUGAGAGCAGAAAAGCAUUUCUGGAAAAAAAGAAACAAAAAAACCCCAACCCAGCAUGCCAGACAAAUCAAUAAGUGGAUGGAGCCGAGUCUGCGACUUUGGGGUUGGGUUAGGACCUAAAUCAAGACAAUAUUGGCUCUGCAAAGCCUAUAUUUUAAGGAGUACCUAUAUCAAAAGCAAUAUUGCUUUCCUGCUUUAUUUGAUAACUUCUAUGCCUUUGUGCAAGCAAAUCCAUUUUAAAGUUGUAUUUCUUUUCUUGAACUAAAGUCUUCUCUUUGGUAUGUGUAACCUGUGUACUGUGCCUCUGUGUAAAUUAACAAAAGGUGGAUUGUGUGUGAUAUUGUCACCAGGGUUCUCUGUGGAAUCCCAGGGCACUGGGAAUAUUUCUCUGUCUACUCUGGGGUGUCCUGACCCCCAGGGGAGCACUGACUUUGACCCUUGUUCAUGGACAAAACUUCCAAAGCCUCAAAGUAAACUAGAAACCACAAAAGCGUGAAAUAGAUUGUAGAAAUUGUAGAGGUUAGUGUAGUAUGUUACAUGGGUGAGAAAUUUAGGUUUUUGGACUUUUAGGAUGCUAUAGAUGGGUUCAAGGGGGAGGAUAUCUCCAACAGGGUGUUGUCUUGAGUUCCUUUCUUCUUUCUUCUUCUUUCUUCUUCUUGGGUUUAGGUGGUGUCUUGUAAUUGGGUGGAAAAAAUACACAUUGCAGGUGUUUAGAGGUCAGUUAUUGGGUUAGAAAGGAAAAUAAUUUAGGUGUCACUUCUUAAUUGGGUAGCUUAGUUUUUUAUUAGACUUAAAAACCUUGCAACACGAGGUCAUUAGCCAUUUUUGAGCUGUUUUUCCUGCAUGCAGAGUCUGGUGCAGACUGUGCUGAAGUUUUGAUAAGGUAACAAUAAACAGAAGCUGAAGACCGAAAAAGUCUAAUGAGUUCUCGUUCCUGACACAGAACUGCUCCAGGAGGGUCUCCCCUGCCAGGGGAGCCCCCAGGGAGUUGCCCAACUUGGGGCCUGCAAACUCAAAGUUUUCCAAUGAUGACAUUUGUAAAGGAAAAUAAAUAUCUCUGUGAAUUCUUUGCUGCAUAAUUUAUGCACAGUUCCUACAUGUGAAUUAUCUACAAGCUUCUCACCAUUACCUCAGGAAUAACUAUUUUAUUUUCUGGAAAAUGGAUAUAAGCAUACAUUGAUCAUCAGAAUGUGAGAGCAUAAACAGUGGGCUUUAAUGAUCUAUUGCUUUGCAUUUAUGCAGUUUCCCAUCCAAGAUCUUCUUAUUGUAUCAAAUGUAUCCAAUAUCACAUUAUUUAAAUGCAUCCCAGCUUUGUGAAAGGUAGAUUUUUUAGUCCUGUUUUGCAGAUAAUGCUGUAAGGACAAUUGAAGUUUUACUUGUCUGUGCUUCAAGUUAGGCAAGAAUCUUGUGCUUGUGCACUUGGCUACAGUGUUUGGACUGGUCCUAACUGUUUGGUAAGCUGAUCCAGACUUAAUACUUUAAGAAAAGUUAUAUUGUUCAUGAAUGAUUUGUAAUCUUGAAUGAUUGUUCUGGAUUGUUGUUCAGAACUAGUUGUCAUCUCAAAAUGAACCCAGUGAAAGCCUGUCUCUUUGUGCACCUGCCUAUAUAGACUUGCCCUAAAUAAAUCUGAAAAUGAGACUUCUACAUCUUUGAACAGUUCGAGUGGAGUUGAUGCAGUAUUAGGUUGCUGUAAAGCCACUGAAAAGUCUGAACCUGGUCUCUGAAGUUAAGCCAUCAAUCACACCAUACCCAAUCCUCCUGCAUUCUGCAGGCUUUCGAAUUAAAAAGCAUUCCUAAAAUUUUACUUAACUGUUUUUUGGGGCAAAAUCUCUUAAUUCCCAGUGAGCUCCUUGUGGUAGAAAAAUGCAUCCAUCACAGGUAACAUUUCCUCUGAUUUUUGCUUGUACUACCAUCCUUGCCUUAUCUGUUUCAUAAGUACUCUGUGUGUGGUAUUUAUGAAAUAUUAUCCAGGUAUGGUAUUUAAUCUCUUUACAGGAGAGAAAAAAACACAGUGCACUUACUCAGCAAUUCCAUAUAAAUUGUGCUUCUGUGAUCCGAUUUUCUGCCUCUUGAUACCACCAAAUUAUUACUUCAGCAAAACUCUCUGCAGUGCCACACACACGCAGAUGAAGUCAUAAUAGCAGUUCAUUUUACACAUGCAUAGCACAAUCCUCCAAAUGGUGUUCCUAAGAAUAGAGGUUUGAAAAUCUCCUUGAUAACAUGAGUGUGAGAGGGGUUUUUGUACAAUCAAUACUUACAUUCUACUUGCUGCUUGGUAUUGAUUGCCUCUCCUUCUGCAGGGUGUAAUGUAUAUUUAACUGUAUAAAAUAAGUAUAUUAAUUACUGGACCUGUGCUUCCAAUAAAAUUAAAAUUCUGAAUUAA